GACCUGGUCGAGUGGUCCGCCUAACGGUGUGUACUGCUUGACUGGGCCUUACCUCUUGGUGAGCCGGCGUGCCCUUUAUUGGUGUGCGUCGGGGAACCAGGACUUUUACCUUGAGAAAAUUAGAGUGUUCAAAGCAGGCCUAUGCCCGAAUACAUUAGCAUGGAAUAAUAGAAUAGGACGUGCGGUUCUAUUUUGUUGGUUUCUAGAGUCGCCGUA
rnacentral:rRNA from 1 species